GACGUAGGAUGCGAGCGUUGUUCGGAUUUAUUGGGCGUAAAGCGUACGUAGGCGGCUGCCUAAGUCUGGUGUUAAAGCUAGAGGCUCAACCUCUGUGAUGCACUGGAAACUGGGCGGCUUGAGAGCGGUAGGGGAAGGUGGAAUUCCGAGUGUAGCGGUGAAAUGCGCAGAUAUCAGGAAGAACACCCGUGGCGAAGGCGGUUCUCUGGGACGGUACUGACGCUGAGACGCGAAAGCGUGGGGAGCGAACAGG
rnacentral:rRNA from 1 species